rnacentral:rRNA from 1 species
CAGAGGGUGCAAGCGUUAUCCGGAUUCACUGGGUUUAAAGGGUGCGUAGGAGGGCAGGUAAGUCAGUGGUGAAAUCUCCGAGCUUAACUUGGAAACUGCCGUUGAUACUAUCUGUCUUGAAUACCGUGGAGAUGAGCGGAAUAUGUCAUGUAGCGGUGAAAUGCUUAGAUAUGACAUAGAACACCAAUUGCGAAGGCAGCUCGUUACACGAAUAUUGACUCUGAGGCACGAAAGCGUGGGGAUCAAACAGGAUUAGAUACCCUGGUAGUCCACGCCCUAAACUAUGGAUACUCGACAUACGCGAUACACAGUGUGUGUCUGAGCGAAAGCAUUAAGUAUCCCACCUGGGAAGUACGACCGCAAGGUUG